UCCGAUUUGUCACCGGCAGUCCUCCCAGAGUCCUCAGCAUUACCUGGUAGCAACUGGGAGCGGGGGUUGCGCUCGUUGCGGGACUUAACCCAACAUCUCACGACACGAGCUGACGACAACCAUGCACCACCUGUACAGGACCCUUACGGACCCCCCAUCUCUGGAGGAUUUCCCUGUAUGUCAAGCCUUGGUAAGGUUCUUCGCGUUGCGUCGAAUUAAACCACAUGCUCCGCUGCUUGUGCGGGCCCCCGUCAAUUCCUUUGAGUUUUAGCCUUGCGGCCGUACUCCCCAGGCGGGGCACUUAAUGCGUUAGCUUCGGCACGGGCGGAGUUGACACCGCCCACACCUAGUGCCCAUCGUUUACGGCGUGGACUAC
rnacentral:misc_RNA from 1 species